GAUGAACGCUAGCGGCAGGCUUAACACAUGCAAGUCGAGGGGCAGCACAAUGUAGCAAUACACGGGUGGCGACCGGCGCACGGGUGCGUAACGCGUAUCCAACCUUCCCGUUACUCUUGGAUAGCCUUCCGAAAGGGAGAUUAAUACAAGAUGGUAUUCAAAUUUCGCAUGUUAUUAGAACUAAAGAUUUAUCGGUAACGGAUAGGGAUGCGUGACAUUAGCUAGUUGGCGGGGUAACGGCCCACCAAGGCGACGAUGUCUAGGGGUUCUGAGAGGAAGGUCCCCCACACUGGUACUGAGACACGGACCAGACUCCUACGGGAGGCAGCAGUGAGGAAUAUUGGUCAAUGGGCGAGAGCCUGAACCAGCCAUGUCGCGUGCAGGAUUACGGCCCUAUGGGUUUUAAACUGCUUUUGUCUAGGGGUAAAAUCGCCACGAGUGGUAAAUUGAAAGUACUAGACGAAUAAGCAUCGGCUAACUCCGUGCCAGCAGCCGCGGU
rnacentral:rRNA from 1 species